rnacentral:rRNA from 1 species
GAUGAACGCUGGCGGCGUGCCUAAUACAUGCAAGUCGAGCGAACAGACGAGGAGCUUGCUCCUCUGACGUUAGCGGCGGACGGGUGAGUAACACGUGGAUAACCUACCUAUAAGACUGGGAUAACUUCGGGAAACCGGAGCUAAUACCGGAUAAUAUAUUGAACCGCAUGGUUCAAUAGUGAAAGACGGUUUUGCUGUCACUUAUAGAUGGAUCCGCGCCGCAUUAGCUAGUUGGUAAGGUAACGGCUUACCAAGGCAACGAUGCGUAGCCGACCUGAGAGGGUGAUCGGCCACACUGGAACUGAGACACGGUCCAGACUCCUACGGGAGGCAGCAGUAGGGAAUCUUCCGCAAUGGGCGAAAGCUUGACGGAGCAACGCCGCGUGAGUAAUGAAGGUCUUCGGAUCGUAAAACUCUGUUAUUAGGGAAGAACAAUUGUGUAAGUAACUAUGCACGUCUUGACGGUACCUAAUCAGAAAGCCACGGCUAACUACGUG